GACGAACGCUGGCGGCGUGCUUAACACAUGCAAGUCGAACGGAAAGGCCUCUCGGGGGGUACUCGAGUGGCGAACGGGUGAGUAACACGUGAGUAACCUGCCCUUGACUUUGGGAUAACUUCAGGAAACUGGGGCUAAUACCGGAUAGGAGCUCCUGCUGCAUGGUGGGGGUUGGAAAGUUUCGGCGGUUGGGGAUGGACUCGCGGCUUAUCAGCUUGUUGGUGGGGUAGUGGCUUACCAAGGCUUUGACGGGUAGCCGGCCUGAGAGGGUGACCGGCCACAUUGGGACUGAGAUACGGCCCAGACUCCUACGGGAGGCAGCAGUGGGGAAUAUUGCACAAUGGGUGGAAGCCUGAUGCAGCAACGCCGUGUGCGGGAUGACGGCCUUCGGGUUGUAAACCGCUUUCGCUCAUGACGAAGCUUUGUGUGACGGUAGUGGGUAAAGAAGCACCGGCUAACUACGUG
rnacentral:rRNA from 1 species